AUUGAACGCUGGCGGCAUGCUUUACACAUGCAAGUCGAACGGUAACAGGGAGCUUGCUCCGCUGACGAGUGGCGAACGGGUGAGUAAUAUAUCGGAACGUACCCAAGAGUGGGGGAUAACGUAGCGAAAGUUACGCUAAUACCGCAUACGAUCUAUGGUGAAAGCAGGGGACCUUCGGGCCUUGUGCUCCUGGAGCGGCCGAUAUCUGAUUAGCUAGUUGGUGAGGUAAAGGCUCACCAAGGCGACGAUCAGUAGCUGGUCUGAGAGGACGACCAGCCACACUGGAACUGAGACACGGUCCAGACUCCUACGGGAGGCAGCAGUGGGGAAUUUUGGACAAUGGGCGCAAGCCUGAUCCAGCAAUGCCGCGUGAGUGAAGAAGGCCUUCGGGUUGUAAAGCUCUUUUGUCAGGGAAGAAACGGUAGAGGCUAAUAUCCUUUGCUAAUGACGGUACCUGAAGAAUAAGCACCGGCUAACUACGUGCCAGCCGCCGCCGUAAGAC
rnacentral:rRNA from 1 species